UACGGAGGGUGCGAGCGUUGUCCGGAAUUACUGGGCGUAAAGGGCUCGUAGGCGGCCAACUAAGUCAGACGUGAAAUCCCUCGGCUUAACCGGGGAACUGCGUCUGAUACUGGAUGGCUAGAGGUUGGGAGAGGGAUGCGGAAUUCCCGGUGUAGUGGUGAAAUGCGUAGAUAUCGGGAGGAACACCAGUGGCGAAGGCGACUACCUGGCCUGUUCUUGACGCUGAGGCGCGAAAGCUAGGGGAGCAAACGGG
rnacentral:rRNA from 1 species